CUCCUUUUUAUCUUAUAUUCGCUCCUUUAGGAAUGUAUAUUCCAGUAGGGUAGAUAUGAUGCCUAAAUACGGUUUGGUAACAGCUGUUCAGUUGCAGCAGCCAGGAGACCUCCAAAGUACACAGGAAGAUUGGAGGUUACAUGUGGGUUCCAGAGAAGAAUGACUGGGCUGCUUAUAUUGUGCAUUGAACAGUAGGAGCCAGCAGAAAGAAAUUGGUAAAAG